rnacentral:misc_RNA from 1 species
GAUGAAGAACGUAGCGAAAUGCGAUAAGUAAUGUGAAUUGCAGAAUUCAGUGAAUCAUCGAAUCUUUGAACGCACAUUGCGCCCUCUGGUAUUCCGGGGGGCAUGCCUGUUCGAGCGUCAUUACAACCCUCAAGCUUUGCUUGGUAUUGGACAUUGCCAGUUUCUGGCAGGUCUUAAAAUCAGUGGCGGUGCCAUUUGGCUUCAAGCGUAGUAAUUCUUCUUGCUUUGGAGAUCCAGGUGGUUACUUGCCAAUAACCCCCAAUUUUUUCAGGUUGACCUCGGAUCAGGUAGGGAUACCCGCUGAACUUAAGCAUAUCAAUAAGCGGAGGA